ensembl:lncRNA
GCUGCUUGAAAAUGUGUUUUCUACUUUGUUUCAGCAGUUCAGUGUGGUUGGUUUAUCUUUGUAACCGUCGUAAUGUAGAACCAGUGCAUGUUGGGAAACAGGAAGUAAAAUCACCAUGCGGUAGUUAGCUACAGGAAUGUGUGAGCUCUACCCGUCGUCAGUUUCUGAGUCGAUCGCUUUUCCUUCUCCCUUUUUGCUAAGGCAACGUCUUUUCACAAAAUUCCCCGUAAACUUCAUGGAAAUGAAUCAGCUGUGUCCUGGAGUUUCUUGGGAGUGUUUAAGCUGAAUGGAAAAUAGCCCAUAGCAGAAGCAAAAAAGAUUGACUGUGAGAUGACGCCUUUAAGUCCUUCAACACAGAGGAAGAGGCCAUCAGCGUCCUUGAGAAGAUGCUUGCGGCUUCUAACCUGAGGCUGCACAAAAUUGCUUCAAACCGACCAGCAUUCAUCGAAGCAUUCCCAUCCGAAGAUUGCGCCAAGGACGUCAACAGCCUAGAUCUCUUUUUUGAUGA